rnacentral:tRNA from 1 species
GGUCUUUAGAGACAAAUUCGAUAAUACUAAGGGACUCAUAAUCCCUUGGUCGCAGGUUCGAGUCCCGCUGAGCCCACCA